AGUCACUCAGUAAUUUUGACGCACAACAAAUUCUGGAGAGUGUUUGCAACAUAGAAUACACUAUAGUGCCAAUAGUGUUAACUCACCUUUCCAUGUUGUUGAAUUCAGGUUUCUCAACCACUUCCAGGGUCAAGGGUGUUUAAAAUCCAACACAACACUGGUCUGUACAAAGGCUUGACCCCAACUUAAUAAAUAAAGUCUGUGUUUUCUGUUGGCCUGUAGAAGCCAGGCUUUCAGUAUCUGACCUCACAAAUGUAUCGCCAGAAGAAUCACACAUUCUUCGCAGAUAGCAUUCCCCAAAGAGUGGAAUGUCACUAAAUUCUGCAAGCAUCUGAAGGCAGACGAGUGAAUGCUUCUGACAAUAAAGGUUUAGUUUACUGCACAUAAAUUUGGCUCCGAUGGAGCUUUCCUGCUGGUGCUUAAUAACUUCUAGAUGGGAUAAAAAAUGUUUGGUCUUGUUAUAUAAUUCAGAGUUAUUUUGGCCUGUUUUCAUUCAACUCAUGUUUCUGCUUCAGAACUGAUAACUGAUAUAUUUUUAGUGAAGAUUAUCGAAAUGCUUUUUCAGAUAUGGAAGUGAGAAAUAGAAACCUAACAGAAGAGAGAAGUGAGCUCAAGAAGACACUGAAUGACUUAGUUUCGAAGCAAAAUUCCUUGACUGAAGAGAGAGACAAUUUGACGAGGAUAAACUCUGAUACUGAGGCCAGAUUAACAGCAAUCUCGCUGGAAAGAGAUGAGCUGAAGAAGAGCCUCAACAUUACAGGUGGGAAUGCAUGGCAGAAAAUAUGUGUAUACAUAUUCACUAAUUCUAAAAUUCUUGUAGCUUUGUUAUACAAUCAUGCCACAUCUGUAAUAUAUAGGCAUCAAAAUAUUGUGAUUUUAACGUUUAUUCUUUUCCAAAUCUGUCAGAUUAUCUGGGGGGAGGAAAUGACCUCACGGACUUUAAUUUUUC